rnacentral:tRNA from 1 species
GAGGAUGUAGCUUAGUGGUAGAGCACGUGCUUAGCAUGCAUAAGACCCUGGGUUUGAUCCCUAGUACCUCCA